UUAAUUGAAGAGUUUGAUCAUGGCUCAGAUUGAACGCUGGCGGCAGGCCUAACACAUGCAAGUCGAGCGGCAGCACAGAGAAACUUGUUUCUCGGGUGGCGAGCGGCGGACGGGUGAGUAAUGCCUGGGAAAUUGCCCUGAUGUGGGGGAUAACCAUUGGAAACGAUGGCUAAUACCGCAUGA
rnacentral:rRNA from 1 species